GACGAACGCUGGCGGCGUGCCUAAUACAUGCAAGUAGAACGCAGUUGCGAACGGGUGAGUAACGCGUAGGUAACUGCCUCAUAGCGGGGGAUAACUAUUGGAAACGAUAGCUAAUACCGCAUACUGUGAGAUGGACCUGCGUUGUAUUAGCUAGUUGGUGAGGUAAAGGCGCACCAAGGCGACGAUACAUAGCCGAACUGAGAGGGUGAUCGACCACACUGGGAACUGGACAACGCCCAGACUCCUUCGGGAGGCAGGCGUAGGGAAUCUUUGGCAAUGGACGGAAGGCUGAACGAGCAACGGCGCGUGGGUGGAGAAGGGUUUUGGAGCGUAAAGGUCUGUUGUUAGAGAAGCGGUAACUAACGAGGAAGGACCGGCUAACUACGUGCCAGCAGCCGCGGUAAUAC
rnacentral:rRNA from 1 species